GACUCCUACGGGAGGCAGCAGUGGGGAAUAUUGCACAAUGGGGGAAACCCUGAUGCAGCCAUGCCGCGUGUGUGAAGAAGGCCUUCGGGUUGUAAAGCACUUUCAGCGAGGAGGAAAGGUUGGCGCCUAAUACGUGUCAACUGUGACGUUACUCGCAGAAGAAGCACCGGCUAACUCCGUGCCAGCAGCCGCGGUAAUACGGAGGGUGCAAGCGUUAAUCGGAAUUACUGGGCGUAAAGCGCACGCAGGCGGUUGGAUAAGUUAGAUGUGAAAGCCCCGGGCUCAACCUGGGAAUUGCAUUUAAAACUGUCCAGCUAGAGUCUUGUAGAGGGGGGUAGAAUUCCAGGUGUAGCGGUGAAAUGCGUAGAGAUCUGGAGGAAUACCGGUGGCGAAGGCGGCCCCCUGGACGAAGACUGACGCUCAGGUGCGAAAGCGUGGGGAGCACACAGGAUUAGAUACCCUGGU
rnacentral:rRNA from 1 species